GGACUACUAGGGUUUCUAAUCCUGUUUGCUCCCCACGCUUUCGCGCCUCAGCGUCAGUCUCGGUCCAGAGAGCCGCCUUCGCCACCGGUGUUCUUCCCAAUAUCUACGAAUUUCACCUCUACACUGGGAAUUCCACUCUCCUCUCCCGAACUCAAGCACCAGAGUCCCAAGCGCAAUUCCCAGGUUGAGCCCGGGGCUUUCACGCCUGACUUCCGGCGCCGCCUACGCGCCCUUUACGCCCAGUAAAUCCGAACAACGCUCGCCCCCUUCGUAUUACCGCGGCUGCUGGCAC
rnacentral:rRNA from 1 species